UCGUUCACAGCGUUCUUUUGUCAUUGUUAAACAGAUUAAUCCACGCCCAUGAGUCGCCAUAAAGUUAAUCGCUUCUGGCGUUAUGUGCUCUGCGGCCAUGAUCA
rnacentral:antisense_RNA from 1 species